rnacentral:rRNA from 1 species
AUGUCAGCAGCCGCGGUAAUACGGAGGGGGCUAGCGUUGUUCGGAAUUACUGGGCGUAAAGCGCACGUAGGCGGCUUAUCAAGUCAGGGGUGAAAUCCCGGAGCUUAACUCCGGAACUGCCUUUGAGACUGAUAGGCUUGAGUUCGGGAGAGGUAAGUGGAAUACCUAGUGUAGAGGUGAAAUUCGUAGAUAUUAGGUGGAACACCAGUGGCGAAGGCGACUUACUGGACCGAUACUGACGCUGAGGUGCGAAAGCGUGGGUAGCAAACAGGAUUAGAUACCCUGGUAGUCCACGCCGUAAACGAUGAGGGCUAGUUGUCGGGCGGCUUGCCGUUCGGUGACGCAGCUAACGCAUUAAGCCCUCCGCCUGGGGAGUACGGUCGCAAGAUUAAAACUCAAAUGAAUUGACGGGG